UACGGAGGAGGCAAGCGUUAUCCGGAAUUAUUGGGCGUAAAGCGUCCGCAGGCGGCACCUCAAGUCUGCUGUCAAAGACCGGGGCUUAACCCCAGAAAGGCAGUGGAAACUGAAGUGCUAGAGUGCAGUAGGGGUAGAGGGAAUUCCCGGUGUAGCGGUGAAAUGCGUAGAGAUCGGGAAGAACAUCGGUGGCGAAAGCGCUCUGCUGGACUGCAACUGACACUCAGGGACGAAAGCUAGGGGAGCGAAUGGG
rnacentral:rRNA from 1 species